UACGUAGGGCGCAAGCGUUAUCCGGAAUUAUUGGGCGUAAAGAGCUCGUAGGCGGUUUGUCGCGUCUGCCGUGAAAGUCCGGGGCUCAACUCCGGAUCUGCGGUGGGUACGGGCAGACUAGAGUGAUGUAGGGGAGACUGGAAUUCCUGGUGUAGCGGUGAAAUGCGCAGAUAUCAGGAGGAACACCGAUGGGCGAAGGCAGGUCUCGUGGGCAUUAACUGACGCUGAGGAGCGAAAGCAUGGGGAGCGAACAGG
rnacentral:rRNA from 1 species